UCGUCAGCGACCGCUGGCUUUUGUACGUUUCGCGAUGUCGCGGCGCGCGACUCCGGUCGCGCGCUCGAUACGCGUUCGUAUGGUUCAGACCCGGUUCGUCGGCGUGCACUUCUCCUCUAGUAGGACGUCGCGACCCGUUGGGUGUCGGUCCACGGCACGGGUGGUUGCCUGUCGCGCGUCGCGCUACUUCUGCGGCGUUUGUCGCGCGGCAGACCCCCGUUCGCCCGGCCAGCUCUCGGCGGUAUUCGUACGGUAUCGAGCCGCAUUUCGCACGUACGCGGCGUUUGCGUUCCCGACCCGUUGCUCGUUAGGCCAGUGCCCUGAUAAUACGGACUUAGCGCCGGAGUCAGGCUUGGUCGAACGUUCGCGACGGUGUUCUCGGGCUGGCUCUCAUUAUCGGUCAGCGACGCUAUUGCUUCGGGUACUUUCA
rnacentral:rRNA from 1 species